rnacentral:piRNA from 1 species
UGGGUUUUGCCUAUUUGGUGAAACAAGGGA